ensembl:miRNA
GUUCCUUUUUCCUAUGCAUAUACUUCUUUGAGGAUCUGGCCUAAAGAGGUACAUGGCAUGGGAAAAUGGAGC